AGGUCGGUAGUUUGGGCGCCUGGAACGAGUAGGAGAGGGCAGGAGGUGAAAUCGGGAUUGAAGAUACAACGGAGCAUUAGGAUCAUGAAGGAUAUUGAAGAGGGUGGACAGGAUGUGCAUAUCACGCCGAAGACGAAUGGGGAGCCAUUUUAACUGAGCACGAAAGUGAGAGAUGCGAUCAAAUUUUCGCAGGCCAAAAAUGAAUCUUAUGGCAAGAUUUUGGAGACGCUCUAACAUUCUAAG